rnacentral:rRNA from 1 species
GUACGGGGGGGCAAGCGUUGUUCGGAAUUACUGGGCGUAAAGGGCGCGUAGGCGGUUCGCUAAGUUGGAUGUGAAACUCUGGGCUCAACCCAGAGCCUGCAUCCAAAACUGGCGGGCUAGAGUUCUGGAGGGGUAGCGGAAUUCCUGGUGUAGCGGUGAAAUGCGUAGAUAUCAGGAGGAACACCGGUGGCGAAGGCGGCUACCUGGACAGAAACUGACGCUGAGGCGCGAAAGCUAGGGGAGCAAACAGG